rnacentral:miRNA from 1 species
CUAAAUCAUAGGAUUGUUGUGA